UACAGAGGGUGCGAGCGUUAAUCGGAAUUACUGGGCGUAAAGCGCGCGUAGGCGGCUUUGCAAGUCGGGGUGUGAAAUCCCCAGGCUUAACCUGGGAACUGCAUUCGAGACUGCAUUGCUAGAGUAUGGGAGAGGGAAGUGGAAUUUCAGGUGUAGCGGUGAAAUGCGUAGAUAUCUGAAGGAACAUCAGUGGCGAAAGCGACUUCCUGGACCAAUACUGACGCUCAUGUGCGAAAGCGUGGGGAGCAAACAGG
rnacentral:rRNA from 1 species